rnacentral:rRNA from 1 species
AUACGGAGGGUGCGAGCGUUAAUCGGAAUUACUGGGCGUAAAGCGCGCGUAGGCGGUCUGAUCAGCCGGUUGUGAAAGCCCCGGGCUCGACCUGGGAACGGCAUCCGGAACUGUCAGGCUAGAGUGCAGGAGAGGAAGGUAGAAUUCCCGGUGUAGCGGGGAAAUGCGUAGAGAUCGGGAGGAAUACCAGGGGCGAAGGCGGCCUUCUGGACUGACACUGACGCUGAGGUGCGAAAGCGUGGGUAGCAAACAGGAUUAGAUACCCUGGUAGUCCACGCCGUAAACGAUGUCGACUAGCCGUUGGGGUCCUUGAGACCUUUGUGGCGCAGUUAACGCGAUAAGUCGACCGCCUGGGGAGUACGGCCGCAAGGUUAAAACUCAAAUGAAUUGGCGGGG